CCAAUAGCGUAUAUUAAAGUUGUUGCAGUUAAAAAGCUCGUAGUUGAAUUUCAGGCCUGGCUGGACGGUCCGCCCUUCGGGUGAGUACUGUCUGUGGUCGGGUCCUACCUUCUGGCGAAGCGUCAUGGCCUUAACCGGCCGUGGCGGGGAACCAGGACUUUUACGGUGAAAAAAUUAGAGUGUUCAAAGCAGGCAAUCGCUUGGAUACAUUAGCAUGGAAUAAUGGAAUAGGACAAUGGUUCUAUUUGUUGGUUUCUAGGACCGUUGUAAUGAUUAAUAGGGAUAGUUGGGGGCAUUAGUAUUCAAUUGUCAGAGGUGAAAUUCUUGGAUUUAUUGAAGACUAACUACUGCGAAAGCAUUUGCCAAGGAUGUUUUCAUUAAUCAAGAACGAAAGUUAGGGGAUCGAAGACGAUCAGAUACCGUCGUAGUCUUAACCAUAAACUAUGCCGACUAGGAAUCGGGCGAUGUUGAAAAAAUGACGCGCUCGGCACCUCAUG
rnacentral:rRNA from 1 species